ACCGUUGGCUAUCAGGCUGAGCAGAUUGGAGACAUUGCUGACAGGAUUGGAUGGGAAAAGAAGAUACUUAGAGAAUGGACUGGCUCAUCAGCCAUCACCAUCCAAGGAGAAUGGGGACCAGGGUUUCUUUGUGUAGCCCUGGCUGUUCUGGAACUCAUUCUCUAGCCCAGGCUGGCUCUCAACUCAGAUCCACCUGCCUCUGUCUCCUGGGUGCAGGGAUUAAAGGCCUACACCACCACCUGGUCAUGCUUCUGCGUCAAGUCACCUAUGUCCCCAGCCCAUGAUGACUAACCUUGUCAACCUGACUGGAUUUAGAAUUAUCCAGGAGUUUGAGACAUGCCUCUGGGUGUGUCUGUGAGCUGUGUUAGAAGAGGAUUAACCAAUCCGGAAAGACCAACCUUGAACGUACCUGUCUACAUCCCUUGAGUCUGGAGCUUGACGGAAUGAAAGAGGGCAAGGGAACGAGGCACCUGAGGAGUAACAAGCAGCCUACUCUGCUUCCCGCUCUGUGGCAACCUGAGGAUGUGUCAAGUCCCAGCCCUAUGUUCCUAGUGCCACAGGACCUCGUGCUUCCAUGCCUUCCCCUCCAUGUAUACCCUCAAGCCAUGAAUCAAAAUAAAUCCUUCCUCCCG